rnacentral:rRNA from 1 species
UACGUAGGGGGCAAGCGUUGUCCGGAAUCAUUGGGCGUAAAGCGCGUGUAGGCGGUUCGGUAAGUCUGCUGUGAAAGUCCAGGGCUCAACCCUGGGAUGCCGGUGGAUACUGUCGGGCUAGAGUACGGAAGAGGCGAGUGGAAUUCCCGGUGUAGCGGUGAAAUGCGCAGAUAUCGGGAGGAACAACAAUUGCGAAGGCAGCUCGCUGGGACGUUACUGACGCUGAGACGCGAAAGCGUGGGAAGCAAACAGG